UUCGGGACCCUCUGACAUCAAUUAAAAUUGGAAUCGAUACAGAGAAGAUUAGCAUGGCCCCUGCGCAAGGAUGACACGCUAGAACUGAGUGGAUGCCCCUACGGGGGCUAAAUCUUU
rfam:Spizellomyces punctatus DAOM BR117 chromosome Tnknown supercont1.4, whole genome shotgun sequence.